UGGGGUGUGGCCAAGCGGUAAGGCACGGGCCUUUGGAGCCUGUAUACGGAGGUUCGAAUCCUCCCACCCCAGCCU
rnacentral:tRNA from 1 species